rnacentral:misc_RNA from 1 species
AACGAGGCCGACCUGCGGCUGAGUUACCUGCGGAGGGAUCAUUAUCAAAAGUCGGUCGGGAGCCCUUGUGGCUGCCGUCUACACCCAAGUCUUUUGUGUACUCUUUGUUUCCUCGGCGGCGUAAGUCGCCGAAUGGACAAACCAAAACCUUUUUGUAAUUGCAAUCAGCGUCAUUAAAUAUAAUAAUAUUUACAACUUUUAACAACGGAUCU